UCUUGCAGUUGGUGGAGGGGUCGAUCUUGUAAGGAAUAUUGACAUUGCAUUUAGCAGGAAGACUCUGAGCGAGGCCAAGGUUAUAGCUGGAGUAGCGGAAAUUACUAACAGCAGAUUCCAAGCACUGGCAAACGGCUUGGCGAUCAGGUGUGGUCUGAGCAGCAUUAUAAAGUGUUCUAAUGCCGUUGCAGCAAUUGCCAGGAACUUGCCCACCACUCUGCAAAUAGCCCACGCAUGGAGUCAGCUCUCUUACUACAUCUCCACAUGUUAUUGCUGCUCUUGCUGCCAUUGGAGCAAACAUCAUCAUCACCGCCAGGCUUACAAUCAUAACUAGCUUAACACUUGCCAUGAUUCUUGACUACUCUUAGUGAUCUAUAGCUAGCAGAAAACAAGUGUGGGUGGUGGAGUGCUUAGAUUUGGUGUCUAUUUAUGGAAAAUCUUGGAACAGAUGGGGAGUUAGGAAUUACUACUUGGUGGUUGAGCUUAUUAAGAGGUAUGGCGGAACUUAGUUGUGAACUAUAAAUGCUGUAGUUAAUUUGGUUAUGGAAAUAGUAGAUCCAAUAUGAAGUAAAUUCUGAAUGAACGUACACUCAUUUGCAAAUUCAGGAGUUAAAAACUUAAUGAAGGGAAAAGUUGUAUCUAGCUAGGUAGCUUAUUAAUGAUAAAAUAAGGUUUUCCUUAUACUACAUUCAAUAGGGUUGGUCCAAUGGAUGAGUACGAGUAUUUUCGUCCUCAAUUAUAAAUCUAGUUUCAAUUUUAUUCAAUAGUUUAAGGAUUGUUAUUAAAAAUAAUAUUGAUGUUGAUGUGGGACAACAUAUAUAUGCCCUUAAAAUUAUACAGAUCAAGGAUUUAAUCUCAUUGCAUUAAUUGGAACAUAUCUCUGUCCAUAACUAAACAUUCUAUAUAUGAAGCUCAUCAAAUUUCAAGGGCGGAAGGAAGGUGACCAGAGAGCCUGGGCCCCUAAUUAAACUCCAAAUUUUUUCUUUUACUUUUUCUUUAUAAAUAUUUGUCAAAAAUUUUUCUUCUCACUUUGUCCCCUUUAUUUUUGAGAAUUUAUUUUGAUUCUCCAAAUUCUGAAGUCUAGAUCUCCCGUGCUAGACUUGGAAACUAACAUAUAUACGAAUAAAUUACACUAGCCAGAGUAUGAAUAACUUUAUUCGCUUGUCUCCUCGCCCAAUUAAGGGUGAACUAGUUACAUUAAACAACAAAAGCAUUACAAUCUUCCAAAAGAAGAUAUCAUUCAGUUUGUAGGUGAGAAGGAUGACAUAUUCCUUUCAGAACCUCCUGACUCUGAGCAUCUGUCUUUAUAAUAACAUUUGACAGAUUUCUUACUUUAAUCCAACUUAGCACUUCCUGAAGUCCCAAAAUUAGUUAAUGCCAACAAAAUUUUACUCAAUAACAAUUUUAAACUCAUCAAAGCUGCAAGAUUACGAAUUCCUAUUAAAGUAAUCUGGAUAUUGUCGUUUACCUGGGAUAGUAAAUUGGCGCAAAAGCAGAAACUUAGGACGAUCUAUGAGAUAAUGUUAAAACAUAACGUUCCAUAUACAACGAUAGCAUCACGUCAGCAUUAAACUAUAGGCACCAUAGUUGUUGUCUUUCAAUUCCAUUAUCCCAAGUGGAAGACUGGCCAUGAGACAAUCACAGUUGAUGGAGAGAGCAGCAACAAUACAAGACCUCCUACGGUGGUUUAAUGCUUUAGCCUUUGAGGUAUAGAGAUGUUAUACCUUAAUUUGCAGCCCGUGCACCUCCUUUGGCUGCUCUCACCGCCAUGAAAUAGACAACUGCUGGUGUGGUGCUGGUAGGUAUUUCUUUACAUUAUUAGCAGUGAGAAGUAGAAAGUGUCACUGUCUUGAUUUAACUCCAUCAUUAACAUGCCUCUUUUGUUUGAUAUAAAAUUUCCUCGUGUAAACGACAAAUAUGUCCAAAAUGCAGCAAAAGAUCUGCAUGGGUUGGGCCACUUGAGAGAAAGCCUUGGGCCUGUGAACAAGUCCACAUGAUAUAGUGAAUGUCGGUUCUAUGUUUAAUUAUGGGCCAUGAUUGAAUGGUUUUAAGCGAAAAAUGAACCAAAUUAAUUUGAUUUUCCUUUGUUUGGGAAGGGAGGGAAAGGAAAAUAUUAGAGGAAAAAAAUUAAUAUAGAAAAAUAAUGAAUAAUUGUCGACUUUCUUUUAUGGUUAUUUUCCACUUCUGUGUUUGGAUAUAAUAAAUGAAAUGAAAUAAAUUUGUGAUUCUUCGCUAGGAAAGGGUAAAUUUUAGAAAAAAAAUAUUAUUAUUGAAAAUUGACAAUUAUGGCUUCAUUUAAAUAAGAAGUAUUUAAAAAAUAGUUAAAAUUUAUUAAUUAAUUGAAACAUUUGGAUAAUUUAAUAAAAAUGAGUGAAAUUCUCAAUUUUCUUCGUUAUUUUCUCUCCAAAUUGAAGAGAUUCAAAACAUGUAGACCUCUAUAGAAAAUAAAUAAAAUAUUAUUUUCUUCACUAUUUUCCUUUCCUUUUCCAAGUAAGGAAAAAAAAAAUAUUUUUCUAAGUAUUUUAUUUUCCUUCCUUCAAAAAAAUAAUAUAAUACAAACAUAGAGUUAGUUUUUCUGUUUAGUUAUUCAAAAUAAUUAGUUUGAUUCGAUGUCAUAUAUGAUUUUAAAGAAUUUUAGUUUUUAAUUUUGGUUUGAUCCAAUUUUUUUUACAAUUAAUUGAAUCGAUAUAUAUUGUUGUGUUGGUCUGUCGUGAAAUUGUGUGGUGAUAGAGCUUAUUGCAAGAUUUCAGAAUUUCAAAUGAAGGGCACGUUUUAUUAUCUGUGAUAAUAUUUUUGCUGUGCACACUUCUAGAAAAUUUCUCUUUCAUGAAAUAACUAAGAUAUAAUAAUUGAUUGUCAUCUCCUAAGAGGAAAGAUCCUUAAUUGAACUAUGAUGACAAAAUAUGUUAGAGCAGAAUAAUAAAUUGCACAUCUAUUCAAAAACUCUACAUCCAGCACAACUCAAAAUCUUUUUUUACCAAGUUCAGCACAAAAGACUCGUAUGCUCCACUCGAGGGGAGUGUGAAAAGUAAAUAUACUUUUAUUUUUUCUGUAAAUGUAAAAAGUCAUUACAAUAAAAAGCUGUAAUUACUUAUAUUUUAUUUGACAAUUGUUUUUUAAAUUAACUUUUCACGUUUUAAUUUAUGCUAUUUUUUUAUUAUAUUCAAUAAUAUAAUAUUUUAAUUAAAUUUUAAUAGCUUUUUUUAAAAAAUUAAUUCAAAUAGCAUUUAACUUUUAACUAAUAGCUAUCAAAACAGCUAAUCUCACGGAGCCUUUAACCAACAUUAAGCCUUUAAUGAACAUUAAUAAAGAAGAAAACCCAAGAAACUGUGAAAGAAAAUAGAAAUCUUAUCAGAAACGUAGAUAGAUAUCAUUAAUAACACAGACAGUACAAUAGACCCAAAGACGCAAACACCAAAUAGUAAAAAUUACAACAAAAACAUACAGAGAAAACAGUAGUAAUUAAAGAGAAACGGAGACUCGCUAAAGUGGAGACACCAUUAUCCUCUCUCUCCCUCUUAUUCUUCUUACGCUACCUGAUCUCCAGGCCUGAAAAUCGAACUCUGCUCCAUGUAUAACUCACCUGACACUGCAACACAAAUAUAUAUUGACAAUUAAUUGUUUAAAUUAAUCAAGGAAGAAAAAGAAGAAAUGAAAGCAGAAAGAACUACUUACUUGUUGCAGUUAGUGGAGAGGCUGAUCUUGUAAGGAAUGUUGACGCUGCAAGCACCAGGAAGAGCCUCAGCGUUCGUAGGGAUGAUACCAGAGACGCUUGCUGCUGCUUGUUUCAAGCACUGACAUGCUUGUUGGCGGUCAGGGGUCGAUUUUGCAGCAGAGUUGAUGCUUCUCACUCCAUUGCAGCAAUUCGGCGGUGGAGCUUUGGCACCUGCUGUUCUCAGGUAGUUAAUGCAUGGAGCCAGGGCACCGCUCACUUGUCCACAUGUUAUGGCCUCUGUUAUAGGCGCAGCGACAAACAUGCAGAGAACCAAAAUGCUAAGUAACUUAAGACCUGCCAUUGUUGAU
rnacentral:lncRNA from 1 species